CAUUAAAGAAGUUCAAUAUAGAACGAACUUCACUAAACGCACGUUCACCGAAGCCAUUCAUAUCAAACGCCAAAAGCCCACCAUCAACCGAGACCAAGGAUACUUCAUUCUAUCCUCUUAUGAUGCACUCCUCCACCAGGCCCAAUCUACUGUA